rnacentral:rRNA from 1 species
GACGAGCUCUCCAAACGUUAUUCGGUAUCACUGGGCUUACAGAGUUCGUAGGCGGUCCCAAAAGUUAGGUGUGAAAUCCCUCGGCUCAACCGAGGAACUGCGCUUAAAACUGUGGGACUCGAGGGAGAUAGAGGAAAGCGGAACUGAUGGUGGAGCGGUGAAAUGCGUUGAUAUCAUCAGGAACACCGGUGGCGAAGGCGGCUUUCUGGGUCUUACCUGACGCUGAGGAACGAAAGCUAGGGGAGCGAACAGG